AGAGUUUGAUCCUGGUUCAGGACGAACGCUGGCGGCGUGCCUAACACAUGCAAGUCGAACGAUUCGAUUUCGAACUUCGAUCUUCGAAUUUCGAAUAUCGAAUAGUGGCGGACGGGUGAGUAACGCGUGGGUAACCUACCCAUAAAGUCGGGACAACCCUUGGAAACGAGGGCUAAUACCGGAUAAGCUUAGGGAGUGGCAUCACUCAUUAAGGAAAGGCGGCCUCUGAGUAUGCUGCCGAUUAUGGAUGGACCCGCGUCUGAUUAGCUGGUUGGUGGGGUAAAGGCCUACCAAGGCGACGAUCAGUAGCCGGCCUGAGAGGGUGAACGGCCACACUGGGACUGAGACACGGCCCAGACUCCUACGGGAGGCAGCAGUGGGGAAUCUUCCGCAAUGGACGAAAGUCUGACGGAGCAACGCCGCGUGUAUGAAGAAGGUCUUCGGAUUGUAAAGUACUGUCUAUGGGGAAGAAUGACUGGUUCAGGAAUAUUGAAUCAGAAUGACGGUACCCAAGGAGGAAGCCCCGGCUAACUACGUGCCAGCAGCCGCGGUAAUAC
rnacentral:rRNA from 1 species